AAAGAGUUAAAUAAUUAUAAAAGUUAAUGUAGCAAAAUUAUUUUUAAUAAUUAUUUUGAAAUGAAAUGUUAAUCGUUUUUAAAUAUAUCUAGUUUUUUUAGAAAAAAAUUUAAUUUUAAAUUUAUUAAUAAUUAAUUUAAUUAAUUAAAUUAAUUAUUUUUAAUUUUUAUAUUUUAAGGGAUAAGCUUUAAAUUAAAUUUUUAUAAUAAAAAUUUUUUAUUUUGAAAAUUUUAUAAUUUAUAUUGUUAAUAAAUUUUAUUUUAUUAUAAAUAAUUUCAUUUUUAAAUAAAAUUUAAAAAUUUUAUAUUUAAUUUUUUAUAAAAAUUAAAUUUUUAAUUUUAUUAAAUUAGAAAUAAUGAUAAAAUUAGUAUAUUUAUUAAUAAAAAUUAUUUAAUUUAAAAUUUUUAUUAUUUAUUAAUUAUUUAAAAGGAAUUCGGCAAAUAUUUAUUUUCACUUGUUUAUCAAAAACAUGUCUUUUUGAAUUUUAUUUAAAGUCUAAUCUGCCCACUGAUUUUAUAAUUAAAGGGCUGCAGUAUUUUGACUGUACAAAGGUAGCAUAAUCAUUAGUCUCUUAAUUGGUGACUUGUAUGAAAGAUUGGAUGAGAAAUAUACUGUCUCUUAAUUAAUUUAUAGAAUUUAAUUUUUUAUUUAAAAAGUUAAAAUGAUUUAAAAAGACGAGAAGACCCUAUAGAGUUUUAUAAAUAUUUAUUAUAAUUGAUUAUUUAUUUUUGAAAAAUUUUUAUAAUUUUAUUUAUUUUGUUGGGGUGAUAAAAAAAUAUAUAAAACUUUUUUUAAAAUUUAACAUGAAUAAUUGAUUAUUUGAUCCAAUUUUAUUGAUUAUAAGAUUAAAUUACCUUAGGGAUAACAGCGUAAUUUUUUUUUUUAGUUCGAAUAAAAAAAAAAGUUUGCGACCUCGAUGUUGGAUUAAGAUAAAAUUUAAAUGCAAAAGUUUAAAAUUUUUG
rnacentral:rRNA from 1 species